CUUACCGCCUGUGGGGAUUCCUCGCCGCCACCCGGGAUGUCGCCGUCCCUGAGCUUCGAGUCGAGGCUGCUGCUGGCAGGGCCCUGCCAGUCCCGGGGCCUGGGGUCGUUGCUGUAGACCUUCUUAAAGCUGCCGUCUGGAACCCCAAGCCAGGGGCUCCUGUGCUCUAGGCGAUCGCUAUCCACUGAGCACCACCAAAGCCCUUGAGAAGCCACUGUAAACCUCUGGGCUCAGCAAUGAAGGCCACCCUCUCCAGGUGACCUGGAAGCAAAUGGGCACCCCAAGCCCUUCAGCAGCUGGAACCCAUCCUGCAUCAGCACCUGACAGAACAGGGGAGGAAGUCAAGCCCCCAAUGGACGUGCAGCCGGGCAGAUCAGCUAACGUGGCCCCCGCAGCAGCAGCACAUCAGUCAACAGGACGGCGAGGACAUCUGCCGAGACAGCACAGGGGCAUCUCAACAGCACGCCCGAUAAGUCGCCUGUUCCAGGAUGCCUUCAGCACCCCGCUGUUUCUGUUGGAGCCUAGGAGUCUCCUUUCUGACUUGGCACUGAGCAUAGGGAAGGCUGGGGCUGCUUCCCCCAGAAAUCCCUUCAGGGGCUCCAGCUCCGAGCAGGAUGUGGUGGUGCUCAGAAUCCCAGCACUCAGGAGGCUGAGGCAGGAAGAUUGCUGUGAGUUCGAGGUCAGCCUGGGUUACAUAGUGAGUUCAAGGCUGCCCUGAACUACAUAGGGAGACCCUGUCUCAGACAAACAAAUAAAUAAACAAAACCAACAAAAACAACCAAGAUGAUCAGAGCUGAACCACAGCCCUGCCCCUUGGCCAGGCCACGGUGCCUGGUGGCUCUCCCUGGACUGGGGGCCGCUCCCUGGGGUGGCUCUGUUUAGGAUUUCCAGCUGCAGGCUAAGCCUUCUGCUCUCCUUGUCCUUGGCCGCUGGGACCUGGAAUGCACACCCACAUGCUGCCUCCAGCUUCAUCGAUGCAAGGAGAGCGGAGCCUGUCCCCUAGUGCCCGAGUCCUCUCAGUGCCUCGGUCUUGGUAUGAACAUCGUGCAGAGCGGGGCUUUUGUGAGUAACCAUAAAUCCUGAAACCACUUUUAAUAGACCAGAAUGCUCGUGUUGCAGAAAGUGCAGAUAAUACUUUUUGGGGAUCCACUUCUUCUUUAUUUUUUGAGACAGGGUCUCACUAUGUAGCCCAGGCUGGCCUUGAACUCAUGGCCCUCCUGUCUCAGCCUCCAGAAUGCUGGGAUGAUCUGUGCCCAGUGGGGAUCCACUUCUGAUAACCCUGUCUCAAUCAGGUAUCUUUUUUCCAUCUAAUUCUCCCUCAUUGCAGCCUGUUGAUUCUUUUAAAGUUUUUACUGCAUUUUAAACUUUUUUGUUGUAUUUACUUGUUUCUUUUUUUGCUCCACUGACUGGAGCCCCAGGGGCCAGGGGUCAGGUCUUGCCUGGUCAGGUAUGUUCUUGCCAUCCAGCUUGGUGCCAAGCCAAGACAGUGCCCCCCCAUCAAAGAUGGGGUCUGACGAUCUGAGGUAACAAGCAUUAACCCAAGAGGAUGCCCAUAAUACAAGGCGGCACCUACCAUCCGAGAUGGCAUCCACCACUCCAGCACACUGUCCACUGAUCCAAGACAGUGCCCGUCAUUCCAAGAGUGUGCUGACCACUCACUGAUGAAGGCCCUCAUAUGGUAUGCAACACAUCAAGAUGGUGUCACCAUUUCAAGAUGACACCCACCACCCCAAAAGAGAACCCACCAAUCCACAUGGUGGCUGCCAUUCCAAGAUGGCACCCACCAUUCCAAGACAGUGCCCACUAAUCCAACAUGGCAGCUGCUGGAGGAGGCCGGGGCGGAGCUUUACCUUUCAA